CCUACGGGAGGCAGCAGUGAGGAAUAUUGGUCAAUGGACGAGAGUCUGAACCAGCCACGUAGCGUGAAGGAUGACUGCCCUAUGGUUUGUAAACUUCUUUUAUAUGGGAAUAAAAUGUUCCACGUGUGGGAUUUUGUAUGUACCAUUUGAAUCAGGAACGGCUAAAUCCGUGCCAGCAGCCGCGGUAAUACGGAGGAGCCGAGCGUUAUCCGGAUAUAUUGGGUUUAAAGGGAGCGUAGGUGGAUUGUUAAGUCAGUUGUGAAAGUUUGUGGCGCAACCGUAAAAUUGCAGUUGAAACUGGCAGUCUUGAGUACAGUAGAGGUGGGUGGAAUUCGUGGUGUAGCGGUGAAAUGCUUAGAUAUCACGAAGAACUCCGAUUGCGAAGGCAGUUCACUGGACUGCAACUGACACUGAGGCUCGAAAGUGUGGGUAUCAAACAGGAUUAGAUACCCCUGUAGUC
rnacentral:rRNA from 1 species